rnacentral:rRNA from 1 species
GACGAACGCUGGCGGCGUGCCUAAUGCAUGCAAGUCGCACGCGGCACCUUCGGGUGCUGAGUGGCGAACGGCUGAGGAACACGUGGGGACCUGUCCGGGAGUUGGGGACAACACCGCGAAAGCGGUGCUAAUCCCGCAUACGCUCUGAGUAGGAAAGCCUAGAGGCGGUCCCGGGUUGACCUGCGGCCCAUCAGGUUGUUGGUGGGGUAGCGGCCUACCAAGCCGAUGACGGGUCGCUGGUCUGUGAGGGCGACCGGCCACACUGGGACUGAGAUACGGCCCAGACUCAUAAGGGAGGCAGGAGUGGGGAAUAGUGCACAAUGGGCGGAAGCCGGAUGCAGCAACGACGCGGGCGGGAUGACGGACUGCGGGUUGGAAACCGCUUGCGCCUGUGACGAAGCGUGAGUGACGGUAAUGGGUAAAGAAGCACCGGCUAACUACGUG